rnacentral:tRNA from 1 species
CGCUAAGAAGCUAUGAAGGAAUUUAGCGUUAGCCUUUUAAGCUGAAGCCGAGGUGACUACCGACCACCCUUAGCGG